rnacentral:rRNA from 1 species
UGGGGAAUUUUGGACAAUGGGCGAAAGCCUGAUCCAGCCAUGCCGCGUGAGUGAAGAAGGCCCUCGGGUUGUAAAGCUCUUUUGUCCGGGAGGAAAUCCCGUAACCUAAUACGUUGCGGGGAUGACAGUACUGGAAGAAUAAGCACCGGCUAACUACGUGCCAGCAGCCGCGGUAAUACGUAGGGUGCAAGCGUUAAUCGGAAUUACUGGGCGUAAAGCGUGCGCAGGCGGUUUGAUAAGUCAGAUGUGAAAUCCCCGGGCUUAACCUGGGAACUGCGUUUGAAACUGUCAAGCUAGAGUACGUCAGAGGGGGGUGGAAUUCCACGUGUAGCAGUGAAAUGCGUAGAGAUGUGGAGGAACACCGAUGGCGAAGGCAGCCCCCUGGGAUGAUACUGACGCUCAUGCACGAAAGCGUGGGGAGCAAACA